rnacentral:rRNA from 1 species
UACGAAGGGGGCGAGCGUUGCUCGGAAUCACUGGGCGUAAAGGGUGCGUAGGCGGGUCUUUAAGUCAGGGGUGAAAUCCUGGAGCUCAACUCCAGAACUGCCUUUGAUACUGAAGAUCUCGAGUCCGGGAGAGGUGAGUGGAACUGCGAGUGUAGAGGUGAAAUUCGUAGAUAUUCGCAAGAACACCAGUGGCGAAGGCGGCUCACUGGCCCGGUACUGACGCUGAGGCACGAAAGCGUGGGGAGCAAACAGG